UACGUAGGGUGCGAGCGUUGCCCGGAUUUAUUGGGCGUAAAGGGCGCGUAGGCGGCUCGGCACGUCCGUUGUGAAAUCGCCCGGCUCAACUGGGCGGGGUCGGCGGAUACGGCCGAGCUGGAGCAAGCUAGGGGGUAAUGGAAUUCCCGGUGUAGUGGUGGAAUGCGUAGAUAUCGGGAGGAACACCAGUGGCGAAGGCGGUUACCUGG
rnacentral:rRNA from 1 species